CUUUAGCAAUACUGUGGCCACCUUGCCCCGGGCUCGUCAGGGGCUGGGCUUGGCAUAGGGCUGUACCUCCCAGGCAGCCGGUGUCCCUUGUUCUCCAGGCUCCCCUGUUGCCUGGCAACAGCGUUGGCUGCCGUGUAUUUUCUGACCGUGGCGACUCCACUCACCCACUUUACCUGCCGGCCCAGAAUGGUACAAUCCUUGGAAAAAAUGAAGAAAUAGUGCUUCUCAGACUUCAGUGAGCACAUGGACCACCUAAAGCUCUUGCCAAAAUGGAAACCCUGAACCAACUUCAGAGGGCAGGAUGGGAGACAGAGAUGGAAAUGACAAAGCAGGAAGGAAAAGUACUGAGAAGACUGGCUUUCUAGAAUGCAUCAUGUUGUUAUGCUGUGAACAAUGGGAACCUCUUCAGUAAAUAACCUUUAAACAACAGGAUAAAUGCAAAUGACAUGACAAAUUAUUGGCCCAAUUCAGAUGAUGGAGAAGAGACUGCACCUGUUGAUCCAUGGGCGGUACAGGAUUAAGAAUCAAGAAAAGGGGGUCCAGACAUAUCAAAACAUUUAAAACAGGGGCUGGAAAUGGAGGACAAAGAAGCAAAUCUCUGGCCAUAAGCAAGACAUAGUAAGGGACCGAGAGUUCUCGUAAUCUAUUCCCAAAAGAUGAUGGCUCCAUUUACAGUCAACAAGGAGAAGAACAUUCUCAUUGGCUGUAAAGAACUUCAACUCCGUAAACUGAGAAGCAUCAGGAAAAGGAGACCAGGAUUUAAAAAGGAAAAAGAAAAGCGAGCAGAUGCGUGUGUGUGUCCUCCAUUAUCUGUCAAGGGCAAAAGGGAGAGGCAGCAGCCACCAGGACUGCAUGCAGCUGAGGAUCCAAUGCUGCCCUGGAAGGAAUUCAAAACGGCUCCUCGUGAGAAGGACAGAGUCCCACUAAUUUACAAACACUCAGAAGCAUCUUGAGGCCAUAAUAACAUGCUAGCUACAAGAGUCACUGGAAAUAUUCAGCAAAAAGCGGAAGUCUUAUUUCAUCACAUCUGAAGUAAUACGACGUAGUAAAGACACGCCCACGAGACUAAAGUGCACACUUGUGUGGGGUAACUCUUGCCAGUUACCUGGUGAAAAGUCAAACAGAAUCCUGGACUGCAGCACACACAACAGUGAGAUCUUCUCAAAUGAAGGUCCUCCCUUCUCCAGAGUUGAACGGCAACUACUUUAAAUCCCAGGGCUAGUUGUUCCCCCAGCUCUUAUCAGCCAUCUAGUCUUGAGACUGGCACAAGGAUUUACAGUUUUCUAGGUACAUGAUAUUAAAACAGUUUCCUUUCAUUUUAUACUUGUAAUAAAAAGGAUGAAGUCUUAAAACUAACUUUUAAGAAGUCAAUGAAACCUGACAGCAGCAUAUGAAAUGAAAGCAUUUGCUGAACACAGCCAUCUGAAAAGCUGGCUUUAGUCCAAGCUAGUCACAAAUCCCAGCACAAGGCACCUGCUAACAAAGGCCUCUGACUUUGUAGGACUUCUCAGAAUAGCUCAUAUAUUCGGUAAACUAGGUAACAGAAUUUAUGCACUAUCAGCUGUGUGUAUAUUAACAAAAUUACUGAGGUACUUUAUUAUAUGUAAUAACUCAGAAAUUAAAAAGGAAAAUCAUCUGAUUCACGACACACACAUCUCCCUAGGUAACGAAAGUUUUACAGCUCCGAUAUUCUGAGUUCUUGAAAAGGAAAGACAGAACAAAGAAAGUUACCAAGUAAUUUUAGAGGCCUCAGUAAGUAGGAAUGAGUCUGCAACAAUCAGGAUGCAGGAAAAAAAAGGGGGAGAAGUCCAUAAUCUCUCUAAAAAGAGGACCCACUGUAUUGUCCAUCUAUCCGGACUCCAUUUCUAAAUAGCUAAUCAAAGGUAAGAGCUGUUUGCUAUGGCUCUUACCUGAGUGGAAAUAAAGUGCAUCUGACUGCAUUAAGGAAACUGAUGCUGGCACUCAUCUGGUUUCUUUGCUUAAAAGCUCUUUGGCUCAGUCACUGUGAUUGUCAGACUGUUCCAGAGCACCUGUGGACCACCGUUAAUUUUCAAACGGUUCCCAGACCCAUUUUUCAAAUGACAAAAAAGGCACACAAAAGAAGUAAAAUUAGCAUCUGUGGUGACAGAACAAGAAACAAGAAGAGCCAAGAGCUGAUAUUUGGAGUUUAGUUUAGCCUAGGUCAGGUGGAUUCUACUAACAUAUACUGAACAAUUUCUACACAAACAUAGACGGGGGAUCAGUUACUUCGUUCCAUAGUGGUUUGGUUAAGGUUUUAACCAAAUUUUGAACUGCUGCUUCUCUAAGAGCUGAAUGUUUCCUGGAGAUCAUCCUGCCAGUACCGAACUUAUCUUAAGCCAUCUGACAGUAAGAUAUGAAAAAACUACAGUACCAGAAAUACCAUUGCCCAGUCUGAAAAUGACUCAAAGUCAGCAUUUUUCUGUUAGUGUGACAAAUAAUUAAACCCUUGUUUAAGGAUAAAAAAAUAUUUUGUUUUUAUGGAAGAAGUCUCACUUGUCCAGCACUGAGAGAUAACCCCACGCUGCUAGAGGUCUAAGGUGUAAUACUACUUCUUCCAGCUUUUGAUAGGCUUUUAUUUUAACACAGUUAACAAAAUGUUUUAUAGUUACCCUAGGGGAACCUUAAGCAAAACAACCAUCACAAACCAUAUAAAAUGUUUGUAAUGUUUCUAAUUUAACCAUCUCCUAGAGUUAGAAAGAACCACCAAUUACUAGAUGACACAAUCUCAAAAGAACUGCAUAGCACUGUUCAUUUAUAUUUCACCAUCAAACAGCAGGUAGCCUUUGGUCUUAAAAAUAGAAGCGGGCCCAACCCACAAAGAACCUGAGUAAUGUGACCUUUCUUUCAGUCUCAUUUCCAGAAGCAUGCGUCUCGGUUUAAAACCUGUAAGUUGAUGUGAACUCUUCACAUACAACUAAUUCAGUGCAAUUUAAAAUCCAGUACAAUCAGUAACAUUAUAGAAUUACGAAUGAGAAUAAUGGUUACUUAAUCUUUAUUCAUUGACUUGAAAGACUAUACUUUCACUUGCUCUGUUAUUUUUUACUAUGAGAAGAACAAAAGGAGAAGAACCUGUUAAGCAGACCUACGUUUUGGCUGUGACAUCCACAUACUGUCCAGGGCGAAAGUGAGCAGCAUAAAGAGGAGUGCCUUUAUGAAAAGAAAACAAGCAAUAUAUGAAAUGUCGGCCCAGAACAACGUCACUGAACAUAAACUACAUCUAGAAAGCCUAUCAGGUUUCCAAAAAAGUAGAAGAUUCUCUUCUGCAAUUAUAAUUAUUAGAAACAUCAAUAAUUAAAAUUGUUCAUCAAACAUGUUUUAAUCGACUGUCCAUGGGCUGAAGAACAAUGUGUCCCAGGAUGUCGGGCCAACAGAUCACGGCUGGCGGAUGGGCUUGUGCCUUCACAGAGGCCAAUGUGGUACUGGUUGAAAUGGGUAAUUCACAUGACGGACACUGUGUUCUUGCUGGUAAAUACAUGGGUUUGAUGAUUUUUUGUUGCUUUGGUAAAUAACAAUAUACUGACUUAAGAUAUUUUUCCUAUUUCAUAUAACGAAAAUAAAAAUAAAAGAAUGACUCAAAAAAAUGUUCUGGCUGAAUCAAAUCUUUUUUAGAGAUUUGAGAUAAGUUAUCCGAAAGUAGGAACUUAAGUGUUUGAACCCAGCUUCAUUGUACACGGGAUGUGUGAUAUCCAUAUAUAGCCCAUACAUAUCUAUUGUUGGUAGAAUGGUCACUGUAUCAAUAAAAUAUAGUUAUUCUAGCAUGCCUGGAUCAUUUAGAAUACUGAAAAAUUGCUAUUAUUGAUACCCCUAGUUUUAUAUACUAACAUUUCCAAAUCUGGUUGUAUGUAAAUGGAGUCUUACUUAAAAUACACCAAAAAAAUGUGUUAUUUAAAGGAAUUUUGUAAGUGAAAGUCCUUCACAACAUUUUGUUUGCAUCAAUUUAAAGUUAACACUAUGAGAACUAUUUAAUUUGACAAUCUGCAAAUACUGCACAUUUACCAUAUGUACAGUUAGAAAUACAGAAGUAUAAGACAUGGUUCCUGACCUCAAGAAUUUAUUAUAUAGGUGAAGAAUCAACGUUAACUUCAUCAAAUAAGAGACAUUUUUCUUAAAAACAAAACAAAAAAAAGCCAUAAUCAAUGUAAUAGGGAAUAUAAUUGAAUGCUAUUUUUGGCUCAUUUAAAACAGGGAGUAAGAUUCUAUGGGAUUUCAGAGGGGUAGUAUCGUUUAAUGAAGGACUUAACCUAGAUUUGUAUGGGCAGAGAAAAACAUUGAACUAAGAAAAAAUAGGAGAGAUUAAAACUGACUAAAUUUCUAGGAGGGUGAAUGACUUGAACUGUUGAUACAUGGCCACUUUUCACCACAAAAACAAUUUUAAAUGGUUUGAGCUACAACAGAAGUUAAUGUGGACUUAAUUUUUACAUUUGUUCCCUUAAUUCCAUUCACUUUAGCUUUAAACUAUAAAACUUGCACUUCAAAAAACACUUUUAAUUCUAGCUUAUAUCAAGGCUGAUCCUCUGUCAUUCCAAUUAAUAAGGCCUAUUGAAAUUGUAGUUUACUUCAUGAAAUUCAGUUCAGAUAUUAAAGUAUUAAAUCUCAAGACACCCUCUGACUGUCUAAUUGUUAGAACUCAAGUUCAAGACAUGAGGGAGCUUUUCUGAAGUUCAAAGAUGUCAAAAUGUUGUUAACUACAUAAACCGACAUAAACACAUUGCCGAACUGUACUUUUUGACAUUUGGUAAAGUAAAAUACUUUGGAAUUUUUAAGUAAGGAUCAAGGUGCUAUGGUCAGUCACUCUACUGUUUCAUAUUUUCUCAAAUUCUUCUAUCUCAACGGGGGUCUAGCUGUUCCUCACUUACUAAAAUGCCACCCUACACCGAGUGAACUUCACAUUUUAAAAGUUUGUGUAUUUAUUUGGAGUGACUCUUCCAAAUGUAAAACUCUCUGUACAAGUUAAAAACAAAAGCGCUCCUCCCUCUUUAAUGGAAAACAAAGAGUUCUCUACAGUUCCUUCUAGUCAAAAAAGAAAAUGGCUUGUUUGUCUCCAGUGAUUAAAUUAGAUGCCAUUUUGUAUUUAAAAAUAAAUGUUUGGGGCUUUGUAUUGUGGAUUCAACUUUACCAAAAGGGCUAACAUUAAACAAACCACGUAUCUGGGUAUUUUUGCCUCCCUCCUCUCCCCAACCUCAGAUUACCUGGUUUAAUCACAGCAUUAUCUGUUACACGAAAGAUUUUAACUUUCUGUUUUGGCGGCAAUCCAAGUUCUUGGUAAAAUUCCAAUAGAGAUGGAGAUUUCUGGAGGAAAAGCAGUACACAUAAGUAACUCAUUAAUACUAAAGGUGGAGUUCAAUACACAGAGAUCUAAACCAAGUUAUCAACAAAUCAUUAAGAGCACACUGUUUCCCUAAUGAACAAAGAGCACCACAUUCCUCUUAUUUGGGGAGGUGGGAUUUUUAUCUAUAAUCCAUUACACCAAGGAUCCACCAUGUGCAUGGUGGAGCUCAUAUACACUAAAUGGUGAAAGACUUUUCUUCUGUAGGAGAAGAAAGAGUUGUGAUCAUAUGUGAAUUCUGACUGGAGACUGUAAGUAUCAAGAAACCUAAUCCUAAGGCACCUGGGUGGCUCGGUGGGUUAAGCGUCCAACUCUUGAUUUUGGCUCCGGUCAUGAUCUCACAGUCCAUGGGAUUGAGCCCUACGUCAGGCACUGUGCUGACAGCAUGAAGCCUGCCUGGGAUUCUCUCUCUCCCCCUCCUUGUGUGUGCAUGCAUACUCUCUCAAAAUAAAUUAAUUAAAAAAAAAAACUUUAAAACACAAAAAACAAAAAACCCAAAACUUUCUCUUGACCACACAGCCUCCUUUAGCUAAUCUUUCCAUUCCCCCUUACAAUCUCCUUGAAAGACUUUUGCUGAAACUACAUUCUAUCUUCCCAUUCUCUCAAACCCACUUUAAUUAGAUACUUGCAGCCCCUAAUACUCAAUGCAAAGCGCUUGUCAAGGUCACCAACCAUCUCCAUGUGGUCAAACACACCAGUCAAUACUCAUCUUAUUGGCUCUAUCAGCAAUGCUUGGCACAGGUGACCACUUUCUCCUUGAGGCUGUCACUCUCUGUUCUUUCACACGCUAAAAACCCCACAUUUCUAACUUCAAUUGCAAAUUCUAUUCUGAACUGCAAAUUCAUUCAUCCAAAUGCCAACUCACUAUCUCACUUGGAUGUCAUACAGCAACUCAAAUAUGACAUGUCUAAAAUUGAACUCAACUUCCCCCCAGAAGCCUGCUUUCCUCUGAUCUUCCAAAUCUCAACAAAGGGCAACUCCAUACUUCUGUUGUUUGGACCCCAAAUCUUGUGAUUACCUUUGACUCUUUUCUUUCUCACAUCCCACGUCCCACUGAUCAGCAGUUCCUGUAGACUCUAAAAAUACAGUCCACGUGUGCCUGGGUGGCUGAGUCAGUUAAGGAUCUGACUCUUGACUUCAGCUCAGGUCAUGAUCUCACAGGUUUAAGCCCUAUGACAGGGUCCUCACCGUCACAAUGUGGAGACUGCUUGGGAUUCUCUCUCUCUCCCUCUGCCCCUCCCCUGCUCACGCUCUCUCUCUCUCAAACAAAAGAGAAAAAAAUACAGCCCACAUCAACUACUUCUCACCCGCACCCCAAUCCACCAUCUUUUUCCUGGAUUAUUUCCAUAGCCUCCUAGUCGGUCUCCAAACUUCCACACUCCUGGCUCCACGCUCUGUUCUCUAGUCACAGGCUGGCAUGACCCUUUUAAAACUCCAGCUAACUCAUGUGUCCACAAUGGUUUCCAUCUCAUGCAGAAUCAAUCCUAAAUCCUUAACAUGGUUUACAAGGUUCUGUACAUUCUGUCAUCUACUACUCUCCUCCUGGCCACCCUGCUUCAGGUACAAUGCAUUCCUCCUAACCAGUCCAAGAACACGUUGAACAAUGGCCUCAGGUACUUUGCACAUACUGUCCCCCCCUGCCUGAAAUGCUUUCCUGCCAGAUUUUUUCCAGGCCUUGCUCCCUCAAUUUAUUCAGGCCUCUACCCAAAUAUUAACUUACCUUUCCUGAUUAUUCUGUCUAAAAUAGCACCACUUUCUGUCACUCGCAAUCCUCUCAACCUACUUUAUUAGUCUUAGAAGCACUUCUAUAGCCAUUUUUUAUUGUUUAUCUUCUAUGCUACAGCCUCCCUGCUUCACCCCCAAGCCCACCAAAAUGUAAGCUUUGAGAACAGAAACUUUAAUUGCUGCUACAUCCCCAGCUCCUGGUAGGUCCUGCUGCCUGUUUUUCCCUUCACCCUUGCCCUUUUUUCUGCUACUGUAAAUAUGCUUGAAUAAAAAAUAUCUUUGAAUGGAAAACUUCAUGGAUACCUCAUUUCCUUAAAAUGAUGUCCUGGGUCUUUUUUUCAAUUCUUAAGACUCUCGAUAUAGAUUGCUGGAAGACUUACCAAAAGAGUUGUACCACUUUACAUUUUCUGGUGUGAAGAGUACCUCUUUCAUGCGACUAUAACCAACAUAGGCGUAUCUAUCUUCCUGAUGCUCUCUCCCCUUCAACUUCCUCUCUCAUCACAAAAGAAACACCUGCAGCCCAACAAGCCAUAGUACUCUAUGUAUGCUUACCUAUGUCUGCUUACGCCAGUCCCUUGGCCUGUAAUUCUUCUCCACCUCUGUACCUCCAAAGCAUGUUAAAAAUCUGUUAAAUAUAUGUCUAGUCCCAGCUCCAGUGAGAUUUCCUGUCUAGAUUCCUGCCUGGGCCGCCUUGCCAGAGCAGACUACUUCCUUGUCUGUUAUCUCUAGACCUUGCAUACAUCUCAAUUAUUAUUCAUGUUACCUUACAUUUACCAGUGAAUGUUUGCCUGUCUGCUGGAGCACAUGGGUGGCGAGCUGUUUUAUUCACCUGUAUCUGUAACUUUAGAGCUAAGCACAGUGGCAAGUCAGACACUGCAGAAGUGAGCUAAAUGAAUGGUGAAGACACAAGAGAUGGAGGACAGACAUCCGUCUAGACGUGAAGUCCUGGUUUGUCUCUCCAAGCCACCCCACCUUUCCACGCUUGCUGCUGCAUCAGUUCUUGGCACACAAUAUUACUGUGUUUACAAUGCUAUCUUCGAGUCUAGUUAUUUAAAAAAUUGCAGGCCUAAAAUAAACAUUACAGCUUAUUCUGAGGAUGAGCAAAUCUUCAGGAAACUAUAUUAUGAAACCAAACCAAGAGUAAUUUUGUAAUUAAAAAAGCAAGCACAGCAGCAACUGAAAAACCCUAGCCAACUCAAGAGGAUGCUGAUGAUGUACGGAUAAUCAAGCAUCACUGCACACCCAAUCCAAUGGAGUAUCUGCACAGCCAGACUUAAUUGUAGAAUAUGUGAAUAUGGAGCAAACUGCAGUUCCUUGAUUUCAGUUUAAAAUGUGGACUGUUAGGGCCACCCUGUAACACUGAGAAGGUUGCCUUUGAUAGACAUGAAAUUGGGUGGCACUGGCCCAUAAGUAUAGAAUGUUAAUUUUCGGGUCAGCCCACAAACCCUGGAGCCCUCUAGUGGAACCAUGCAACAGAUGCUGAGAAGCCCUGCUUUGGAUGCCUACAAAAGAUUGUUCUGUACUUCAGUGUUCCCUCAAGAAGCUCUCCUUUCCUCCUUUCCUCCAAAAGAAUGAUGACAUAAGUUCAUCCCAGUCAUUCUCUAUAGUUUCACCUCCCACAUGCUCAAAUCCAACACUCAUAUUCAACAACACACUUAUCAAGUCCCCUACUUUUCAUCAACCAUACACACUUCAUUUGCAACAAAAGCAAACACAUAAGUUCUCAUUUGAAAAUGUGGCUCCUUGGGGCGCCUG